rnacentral:rRNA from 1 species
UGGGAGUAAUACCGUAUAAGCCCGUACGGGGGAAAGAUUUAUCGGGAAGGGAUCGGCCCGCGUUGGAUUAGGUAGUUGGUGGGUAAUGGCCUACCAAGCCGACGAUCCAUAGCUGGUUUGAGAGGAUGAUCAGCCACACUGGGACUGAGACACGGCCCAGACUCCUACGGGAGGCAGCAGGUGGGGAAUCUUAGACAAGUGGGCGCAAGCCUGAUCUAGCCAUGCCGCGUGAGCGAUGAAGGCCGUUAGGGUUAGUAAAGCUCUUCAGGGGGGAAGAUAAUGACUGUACCCCCAGAAGAAGCCCCGGCUAACUCCGUG